AGCAGGUAUUGUUUGAAAGUAUCACCAAUCUAAACUCAAAACUCUACAUUAAAUGACACCGGGUAUGGAAACCAAAACCGUACUAUACCAGUACUCGACCACAUAACUCUGUACUUACAAAGAUCUGAACCAAAACCUCACCCUAUCGUUUUUAUCAAGAAACUACCGAUCCCACUUGCCUCCAUCACCAUCCAGAUCAAAAGAGAGGGAUUUGCGUUUCCACAGCCUAAAAUCCCUUCACAGCUUCCAAGCUUUUUCGGAUUUAGGAGGUUUCAAUCAAAGAUUUGGUCACCAAGAAGGUGGACUCGUGGUGAAGAUGAGGUCAGUUAGCAUGUUGCAGAUUUUCUGAUCAUGUUCUAGAAGUUGUGUAAGAAACUCUUCUCCAUUCUUCUGGAAGUCUGAUGGAGGAGAGUGGAGGACUUCAUCGAGCAAUGCUAUGCUGUUCCAGGUU